GGGCGUUUAGCUCAGCUGGUUUAGAGCAUCUGCCCUACAAGCAGAGGGUCGGCGGUUCGAAUCCGUCAACGCCCA
rnacentral:tRNA from 3 species